CAGGUCUUGACAUCCCCUGCAUAGCCUAGAGAUAGGUGAAGUCCUUCGGGACAGGGAGACAGGUGGUGCAUGGUUGUCGUCAGCUCGUGUCGUGAGAUGUUGGGUUAAGUCCCGCAACGAGCGCAACCCCUAUCAUUAGUUGCCAGCAUUCAGUUGGGGACUCUAAUGAGACUGCCGGUGACAAACCGGAGGAAGGUGGGGAUGACGUCAAAUCAUCAUGCCCCUUAUGACCUGGGCUACACACGUGCUACAAUGGAUGGUACAGCGAGCAGCAACCCCGCGAGGGCAAGCGAAUCUCUCAAAGCCAUUCUCAGUUCGGAUUGUUCUCUGCAACUCGAGAACAUGAAGCCGGAAUCGCUAGUAAUCGUGGAUCAGCACGCCACGGUGAAUACGUUCCCGGGCCUUGUACA
rnacentral:rRNA from 1 species